GGCAGGGUCUCUCCAAGGCGCCUGCGCUAAGCCGGCUUGUCGGCGCCAUUUUGUCUGAGCGGUGGCGGUCGCAGCUCUAUCGCAUUUUACGUUUCUGGCGAGGAGAGACCCGGGUCUCUAUUCCCGCAGAUGCAUGGGAGCGCGGCACCUCUCCGCCGUUGGCUCCAGGACAGCACCUAGCGAAGGUCGGAGGAGUCGCGGACCUUCCAGAAAGUUGUUACAAAGAAAACAAGAUCUCUCGGUGGCAUAUCCUAAGUAUUAACCGAGAAUAAACCUCAUUUUGUGGGAAAAUGAAGGAACAUGUUCCAGUUUUAAAAGACCUGGAUCUGCAGUUGAAAAUUCUGUUUCUGCUAUUAAGUUUUCAGAACAUCAACACUAACUUGUUUGGACCUAAAUGCAUAAUCAGAACGAUCAGAUAUUUCUUUGGCAUAGGAGAAGUCACAAAAAAAUAUUUACUGAAACAGUACUAGGACCAAGAAAGUCCAGGAACCACCAGCUUAGGAGAUUUAUAAAAUUUAAAAGAACGCCUGGAUGACUCAGAUCUGCCUUUGGCUCAGGGCAUGAUCCCAGCAUCCCAGGAUCGAGCUCCCUGCAUGAAACCUGCUUCUCCCUCUGCCUAUGUCUUUGCCUCUCUGUGUGUCUGUCGUGGAUAAAUAAAUAAAAUGA